UUUCUCCAGAUCAUUUUGAAAACCAUUGCUAAUGGCUCAUAACUUCUCAGUUAGCUCCUUGAGUAUUCUAGGAUGUAUUUCAUCGGGCCCUGACUAUUUGAAGACCUCUUACUUGUCUACGUAAUUUUUAACUUGUUCUUUCCCUAUUUUAGACUCAGAUCCUACUUCAUUUUCACUGGUGUUAACUAUGUUAGACAUGUGAUCACUAACAAUCUUUUUGGGGAAAACAAAGGUAUUCAGCAUUUCUGCCACUUCCACAUU